rnacentral:tRNA from 1 species
UCCCGUGUGGCUCAGUUGGUAGAGCAUGGUGUUUGCAAUGCCAGAGUUGUGGGUUCGAUUCCCACAGGGGAC